GGGAGUGUACAAGUGGUGGCGGGGGCGGCGAUGAGUAAAUGUACACUGGUGGUGGAGGUGGGGGUGAGUUUGGUGGCGGAGGUGGGGGUGAAUUAUAAUAGUAGGGGAUAGGUGGUGGAGAGUAUAGAGGAGGUGGUGGAGAAUUUGGUGGUGGAGGCGGCGGUGAGCGCACACAGUAUGGCGGAGUAGGCGAAGGAGGUGGAGGGGAAGGUGGAGGUGGUGAGAUAGCUGGAGGAGGAGGUGAUGGAGGAGGUGGAGAUGGCGGUGGAGGAGAUGGAGGAGGGGGAGAAGGUGGUGGCGGUGAGUAAAUUGGCGGAGGGUAAAUUGGCGGAGGAGGUGAAG
rnacentral:lncRNA from 1 species